rnacentral:misc_RNA from 1 species
AACGGUCUAUACCUGCGGUACCUGCGGAGGGAUCAUUACAGGACUCGCAAGACUCCUACAACCCUGUGAACUUAACUAUAAGCACGUUGCUUCGGCGGGUGUCUCGGCGAGGGUUCUCCCUCCCCGGGGCGCUAAGCCCGCCGGCAGCCUACUAUACUCUGUCUCUUUGCGUUGGCAUCUCGAGUACAAACAAACAAGUUAAAACUUUUAGCAAUGGAUCUCUAGAUCGGAAGAGCACAC